UCCGGGAAGGCGCGGGGAGGUGGAGGGAGAGGGGCCAGGACCUGCGGGGACGGGCUCCGGACCGGGGCAGCGGGGCAGCGGGGCAGCGGGGAGUUUUCCAGGGCAGGGCGGAGCCUCCCGGGGACCCUGUGAUCCCUCCAACCUUUGUCCCCGAGGCCGCUGCACAAGGCUUUGGGGUCUGAACCCUGCCGGUCCCCUCUGGAAUCACCCACCCCAGGCUCCCACGCCACUGUCCCAGGCCCUGGAUAGUCCUGGUCACCGUGGGGGCCAGUGGACCUCCCGAGGAAUAUCCUGGGAUGUGACAAGGCGGCAGCGCCUCAGGACCCUGGGAGGGGGAUGGAACAUUCUGGAACACAAGGUGGCUGGGCUUGUGGACCCUGGGAGGUGGGACGUCUUUCCUCACUCGUGAGUCCUGCUGCUGGCCCUUUUCAACCCUUCACUCGUCCCUCACACAUGGUUCUCAGCCCUUGAUGUCCACGUCCUCCUGUGGAAAGUUCUGGAACGUGACAAGACGGCGGCCCCUCCUGGGAUCUGCGCUGUGUCCACUCGGGAGUCCCGAGUCCUUUCAGAGCCUCAGAUUCUGCACAGACCGGGGUGAAGAGGGUCAGCGGGUCAUUGUCUGUGUGACAGGCCCCGGGUUCUCUCAACAUGGACCAGACUGGUCACCAUGGAGCUCAGGAUGCCUGGAACUCACAGAGAUCCUCCUGCCUCAGCCUCCUGAGUGCUGACAGUGUGUAGCAUGACUCCAGUUCCUGGUAAGGACGUUUCCUUGUAUUUCGGGCCACCCACAACACGAGCGUGGGAUCUGCUCAAGACCUUCACAUAAUUUCAUCUACAAAGAUAUCUUUGCCACACAAGGCCACACUCUCAGGAUUGAAUGUGCACACGUUGUCUGGGGCUGUACAGUGAGUUACACGGUGAGCCCCAGAUUCAUGGCACCCAGAACGUCACCCUGGGGCCUGAUUGGUAGCAGGGCCCCUGCAGAGGGAAUUAGAGGAGGAUUAGAGAUGAGACUGUCCUGUCUCAGCCUCCUGGAUUCAACGGCUGCGUCCUCAAGGGAGACAGAAAAGGAGGCACAGACACAGAGGAGCAGCCAUGUGGAGAUGGAGGCAGACUGAAGCAGGAGGGCCUCCCUGGGAAGAGGCAGAGGCAGAGGCAGGAGGGUCUCCCUGGAGCCUGUGGAGGGAGCGCAGCCCAGAACGCUCGUCUCAGCCUCCUGGUCUCCAGGAUGGAAAGGGCAGCUCCUGGGGCUUAUGCCCCCCGGCUGUGUCCUCUCCCACAGCACAGGGGGACUGGGCUUCAGAAAUCAGCCCACGAGGCCUGCUUGCCGUCUUCUCCUGACUUCACCCGCCUCCCUGCAAAAGUCUCCCCAACCCAGUGGACUUUGGCUUUUUGAGACAGACUCGCUGUGUACUUCACGCCUCCAACCUGUGGCACCCUCCUGCCUCAGCCUCCCUUUAAUCUCAGAGGCCCCACCUCCUCCUGGCAGCACCUGCAGUGUCCUCAGGCCUGGCUCUCUCUAGGCCGCCCAGGCAGGGUCCUGUCCUCCUGGGCCAGAGCUUGGCUUCCUGGGGCUGGGGCUGGAGGCCCAGGCAAACGCUUGGAGCCACUGCAGCCUCCGGGCCAUGUCCUGGGCUGCUCUGGAGAAGGCAGGAGUCCCUGCCUGUGCUGCUGCCGGGGACCCUGGACGUAUGGGGUGUGCAGGGGCAGCGUGGGCUGGGGUCCACUCGGGCGCUGGCUCCUCCCCACCUGCAGACCCCGAGACUCCGGGCGGUGUCCCGAAGCCGGGUCUUCCUUACCCUGCUGGGGGCCGGAGAGCCCGGGUCCUGCUCGUGAGACCCAGAGACGGAGAGCGAAGGGAAGAGACGUGGAGAGACAGGCGGAGGCCAGGCCCAGGGGCGCUGGGAGUGGCUGGGAAGGCGGAAGACGGACCCUAAGAUACAGGUGGUGCCAGGCCGAGAGUGGUACCGGAUCAGGCUGUGAAAGUCACAGUCAAUAACCACGGCGUAACACCCUGUUAACGUAACACGGGUGGGGUGGGGCACUGGGGGAGGCUGAGGCAGGAGGGUCUUCUCCAUGAGUUCAAAGCCAGCCUGGAAUACAGAGGGAGACCCUGUCAAACACGAAUGAACAGGACCCUACCCUGUGCUCCCGACUUUUCUUGCAAUCCGUGGGUAAUGCAACAAGAGACAAUUUUUUUUCAGUUUGGUACCGGGGAUGGAGCUCAGGACUGUGUGACGAAGUGAAUUUUGUCCCCGCAUAGGCCAGUAUUGUGCGGCCAAGUGGCCCUCAUUCCCAGAGACUUGAGAAGGAACUGAAGCCAGUCCCACGUGACCUUCCGCUUGUUCUGACUUUUCCGUACAUUUCCCACCCCCUAGGUUGGUCUCCAACUCGUGAAGAUCCUCCUGCCUCAGCCUCCCAACUGCUGGGAAAGUGCCCAGAGCGUGGAUGAGGCCUGGCCUUGCUGUGUGCUGUUCCUGGCCUGUGCUGUGAGGAUUGCGAGGGGCGGUCUGCUUCCGAGCAGGGUGGGGGUGCACGGGUCCCUGGGCUUCUCCAGAAACCCAGUCAAGAGUCUGUGAGACCCAGCUGGGCACAGAGGCGACUCAUACCUGUCAGCUCAGCACUCAGGAGGCUGAGGUAAGGUGAUCACAGGUACCUCUGAGGUGCUCCUUGAAGCCCGGGCACAGGGACAGAGCGGCCAUGGGACGGGGUGGACGAGGGACAGGAUGGGCAGGUGGCCACCGCCCGCGUCAUGCCCGGAGAGCGGGUGACACGGCGGCCAGCAGGAGUGGGGUGAUGUCACAGGGAGCGCGGGAGGAGGAGGAGGCGCCAGUGACACCACAUCGGCGGACAGGGACAGUACGGUAGCCGCCCGGUGCCCAGAGGGAGGACACAGCGGUCACAUUGGAGCAGGGCCCUGGGGGGCUGAGACCGGGCUCCAAACACAGGCAUCUGGGGAAGAGCUGGGCGAGGUGGCCCUGGCUGCUCCUCUGUGUGCCGGGCCACAGCACG